rnacentral:rRNA from 1 species
AAAAAGAGGGCUUCUGAGUUUACGCUCUAUAACCCUUUGUGAACAUACCUAUAACUGUUGCUUCGGCGGGUAGGGUCUCCGUGACCCUCCCGGCCUCCCGCCCCCGGGCGGGUCGGCGCCCGCCGGAGGAUAACCAAACUCUGAUUUAACGACGUUUCUUCUGAGUGGUACAAGCAAAUAAUCAAAACUUUUAACAACGGAUCUCUUGGUUCUGGCAUCGAUGAAGAACGCAGCGAAAUGCGAUAAGUAAUGUGAAUUGCAGAAUUCAGUGAAUCAUCGAAUCUUUGAACGCACAUUGCGCCCGCCAGCAUUCUGGCGGGCAUGCCUGUUCGAGCGUCAUUUCAACCCUCAAGCUCUGCUUGGUGUUGGGGCCCUACAGCUGAUGUAGGCCCUCAAAGGUAGUGGCGGACCCUCCCGGAGCCUCCUUUGCGUAGUAACUUUACGUCUCGCACUGGGAUCCGGAAGGACUCUUGCCGUAAAACCCCCAAUUUUCCGAAGGUUGACCUCGGAUCAGUAGGAAUACCCGCUGAACUUAAGCAUAUCAAUAAACAGAGGAA